rnacentral:rRNA from 1 species
CCUACGGGAGGCAGCAGUGGGGAAUCUUCCGCAAUGGGCGCAAGCCUGACGGAGCAACGCCGCGUGAGUGAAGAAGGUCUUCGGAUCGUAAAGCUCUGUUGAGAGGGACGAAUGCCGCUUCUGUGAAUAAUAGGAGCGGAUGACGGUACCUUUCGAGGAAGCCACGGCUAACUACGUGCCAGCAGCCGCGGUAAU